UACGUAGGGGGCAAGCGUUGUCCGGAAUCAUUGGGCGUAAAGCGCGUGUAGGCGGUUAAGUAAGUCUGCUGUGAAAGUCGGAGGCUCAACCUUCGAAAGCCGGUGGAUACUGCGUGACUAGAGUACGGAAGAGGAGAGUGGAAUUCCUGGUGUAGCGGUGAAAUGCGCAGAUAUCAGGAGGAACACCAACGGCGAAGGCAGCUCUCUGGGACGUUACUGACGCUGAGACGCGAAAGCGUGGGGAGCAAACAGG
rnacentral:rRNA from 1 species